rnacentral:tRNA from 1 species
AUGGGUGUGGCCUAAGGAAGGCCCUUGCAUUUCUGAGAGGAGAUCUAGGUUCAAAUCUUGGCACCCAUC